rnacentral:rRNA from 1 species
UACGUAGGGUGCGAGUGUUAAUCGGAAUUACUGGGCGUAAAGGGUGCGCAGGCGGCGUCGCAAGUCAGGCGUGAAAUCCCCGGGCUUAACCUGGGAACUGCACUUGAAACUACGAUGCUGGAGUAUGGCAGAGGGAGGUGGAAUUCCACGUGUAGGGGUGAAAUGCGUAGAGAUGCGGAGGAACACCGAUGGCGAAGGCAAUCCCCUGGGCCUGUACUGACGCUCAUGCACGAAAGCGUGGGGAGCAAACAGG